UACGAAGGGGGCUAGCGUUGUUCGGAAUCACUGGGCGUAAAGCGCACGUAGGCGGAUUGCUAAGUCAGGGGUGAAAUCCUGGAGCUCAACUCCAGGACUGCCUUUGAUACUGGCGACCUUGAGUCCGGGAGAGGUGAGUGGAACUGCGAGUGUAGAGGUGAAAUUCGUAGAUAUUCGCAAGAACACCAGUGGCGAAGGCGGCUCACUGGCCCGGUACUGACGCUGAGGCACGAAAGCGUGGGGAGCAAACAGG
rnacentral:rRNA from 1 species